CCUAUUUCCUUUUUAUGACUCUCCUUACCCUUUCUGGACACAAGAGAUUUCAAAAGCGUGCACGUUAUGUUUUCUCAAAGGUUCCCGAGGGAAUCUGCUGCUUCGGGUCCAAGAACCACACUGUGAUAAGCACUGGCUUAAGGGAUCCUUACAAGCGUACAUUUGUGUCAUCUGAGAACCCAUUUAAACCAUAGACGCUGACUCCACAGGUCUGAG